AGAGGUGAAGAGAAGUGUGACUGUGUGAGUGAAAAGAAAAAAAAGAAAAAAAAAAUCUCAUAAAAGCCGUUUUGGGAAAGCUUUAUUAGAGAGAGGGAGAGAGAGAGAGAGAGAGAGAGAGAGAGAGAGGGAGAAAUUAGGGCUUCGAUUUUUCCGUCGUUUUUUUUUUUUUUUGUUUUUUGAAUUGUGCUGUGUGUAUGUAUUAAUUGUUAGUUUAAUUUAGUAUUUAUCCAAAGGAGAUAAAGAAGAAGAAGAAGAAGAAGAAGAGGAGGAGGAGGGCGAAGAUUCAAGAAGAAGGAGAAGAAGAAGAGAAAAUUUUCGUAGGUAUUCUCUCUCUAUUUCUGUUUUUUUUAUUUUUUUUUAACAUUUUUUUAGGUAAGGAAAUGGGGGAUGGGUUUCUCUCUCUCUCUCCUUCUUUUUUCGGAUUUUAUGGGCUUUUUUGAGAUUUUUUUUUUUGUUUCGCUUUCAUUUGGGCCUAAUUGUAAGAAUAAGGUAAGUUUUUUUUUAAAAAAAAUUAUUAUUAUUCUUAUUUUUGUGCAAAUUUUGGUGGGGGAUUCUUGGAUUGCUGAUUUUCAUUAUUGUUAUUAUUAUUAUUAAUAUUUUUUGGUGAUUUUUAUAUGAUGGUUAAAAGAACCAGAUUCCUCCGACCUCUCAUAAGACAAGUUCUCUUUUUCUUUCUUUUUUUUUUUUU
rnacentral:lncRNA from 1 species